rnacentral:rRNA from 1 species
GACGAACGCUGGCGGCGUGCCUAAUACAUGCAAGUAGAACGCUGAAGGAGGAGCUUGCUUCUCUGGAUGAGUUGCGAACGGGUGAGUAACGCGUAGGUAACCUGCCUGGUAGCGGGGGAUAACUAUUGGAAACGAUAGCUAAUACCGCAUAAGAGUAGAUGUUGCAUGACAUUUGCUUAAAAGGUGCAAUUGCAUCACUACCAGAUGGACCUGCGUUGUAUUUGCUAGUUGGUGAGGUAACGGCUCACCAAGGCAACGAUACAUAGCCGACCUGAGAGGGGGAUCGGCCACACUGGGAGUGAGACACGGCCCAGAGUGCUACGGGAGGCAGCAGUAGGGAAUCUUCGGCAAUGGGCGGAAGUCUGACCGAGCAACGCCGCGUGAGGGAAGAGGGUUUUCGGAUGGUAAAGCUCUGUUGUCAGAGAAGAACGAGUGUGAGAGUGGAACGUUCACACUGUGACGGUAUCUUACCAGAAAGGGACGGCUAACUACGUG